CCUCGUCGAUCUGCUGCGGGCAGAUGUAGUGGAUGUGCAUGUCGAGGAAGCCGGCGGUGAGGAUCUUGCCCUCGCCGGCGAUCACCUCGGUGCCCGGCCCGACGAUGAUCGUGAUCCCCGGCUGCACGUCCGGAUUUCCGGCCUUGCCGAUGCCGACGAUCCGGCCGUCCUUCAGCCCGACGUCGGCCUUGACGAUGCCCCAGUGGUCGAUGAUCAGCGCGUUGGUGAUCACGGUGUCGACCGCGCCGCCCUCGCGCGUCACCUGGCUCUGGCCCAUGCCGUCGCGGA
rnacentral:sRNA from 1 species